rnacentral:rRNA from 1 species
CAAAGGCCUGGUCCUAACUUUACUGUCCCCUAUAGCUGUACUUACACAUGCAAGUAUCCGCACCCCUGUGAGGAUGCCCUUCACCCUCUUAUGAGACCAAGGAGCUGGUAUCAGGCGCACUUUGUAGCCCACAACACCUUGCUUAGCCACACCCCCAAGGGAACUCAGCAGUGAUAAACAUUAAGCCAUGAGUGCAAACUCGACUUAGUUAAAGCUAAGAGGGCCGGUAAAACUCGUGCCAGCCACCGCGGUUAUACGAGAGGCCCAAGCUGACAGAAACCGGCGUAAAGAGUGGUUAGGGAUUCCUUAAACUAAAGCCAAACAUUUUCCAAGCUGUUAUACGCAUCCGAAAGUAUGAAAACCUUCUACGAAAGUGGCUCUAAUACUCUGACUCCACGAAAGUUAUGGAACAAACUGGGAUUAGAUACCCCACUAUG